GCCAGGCAUGGUGAUGCAUGUCUGUAGUUCCAGCUACUUGGGAGGCUGAGGCAGGAGGAUCUCUUGAGCCCAGGAGUUCAAGGCUAGCCUGGGCAACAUAGUGAGAUAUCAGCUCAG
rnacentral:sRNA from 1 species